UCAAGGUCGGUUUGCACAACAACAAA
rnacentral:misc_RNA from 1 species